GGGAGUUCAACCAUAUAAUAUUUUCAUUAAACAUUCAUUUGGGGCGGGUCGGAUUAUCCUCUUACUAUACCUCUUCACAUUCACACGCCUUAAAAAUUCGUCUGAGUAUAAAUCGUUACCGCGUCCUCAUUGAUUCAUCGCAACGACAUCACGUUCUCCCAAAAUCAGAUCCAUUUUCACCUCAUCUGAAAAAUGACCAAGCAACAGAUGCCUAAAACUCAUUGUUCACCAUGCUAUUGGUAUCAAAGAACUCACAUUACACAUCGGCCCAAUGAGCCCAUAUGUAACCAUUGGCAUUAUGGGUCACAAAUUUAACCCACAACCCCAAAAAACAAACUCACACAUACACGGCCACAUAGACCCUCGUUGGGAAACCCACAUUGUAGUUGAAUUACCUCAAGAUGCUUUGAAUGAAGGCAGCUUGUAUAACCUGGUCGCUGAAAUCAAACAUCAUUCUCGUAUGUCUGACCGACUUGUAGGAAAAGUCACAAUUCCUCUCCGUGAUGUCCUUGUGAACCGCGAGAAAGUCGGUUACUUGGUGAUGACAUCAGGAAUUGCCCAUGGGAAGCUCAUUCUUUCGCAUUCGCUAGUUGCCGAUGCUGAUGAUGUCAGAGUAGCUGACACUCAUGCACCCGCCGUACCUACAACUAACGCGGUUGUGACAAGUGUUACCACAACCGUUGAUGAUCAGUUGGUGAACACGACCACCAACCUAACCGACUUAUUGGCCGGUUAAGGCAGCUAAUACAACUCUGCUCUGUCAAAAAAAACAAACAGACUGAACAUUUUGAAAGAACGACACAACCAAAUAGCUGACGAGCUGCAGGACAAUGAUAAAAAUCACAAGAGUCAUAAACACAAUAGAAGUAGUAGAAAAUGGUCAGAAUGUUCACAAGGACCUGAUGACUCCCAGAUGCAAAAAGAAGGCUCAUUUCAGCAUAGGGAACAAACUACGGAUAAAAGGAAGAUCAGAAGACCAAUCUACUACUAACCAAGCUCAAGGGAAAACCACCUCAAGAGAUGAUCCAUGGCAACUUUCUGUUUUCUUUUGGUUUUGAAAUCUUCUGAGUUUAUUAUGUUAUUUUUAUAAAAAAAAUACAAGUUUUUCAACUUACGGUAGAAGGUGUGACGACUUGCAAGAUGAAAGGAAACACGAAAUCUGGAGAAGUUUGAUAACAA